rnacentral:rRNA from 1 species
CUACGUGCCAGCAGCCGCGGUAAUACGGAAGGUCCAGGCGUUAUCCGGAUUUAUUGGGUUUAAAGGGAGCGUAGGCGGAUUAUUAAGUCAGUGGUGAAAGACGGUGGCUCAACCAUCGUUAGCCAUUGAAACUGGUAGUCUUGAGUGCAGACAGGGAUGCUGGAACUCGUGGUGUGGCGGUGAAAUGCUUAGAUAUCACGAUGAACUCCGAUCGCGAAGGCAGGUGUCCGGGCUGCAACUGACGCUGAGGCUCGAAAGUGUGGGUAUCAAACAGGAUUAGAUACCCUGGUAGUCCACACAGUAAACGAUGUAUACUCGCGGUUUGCGAUAUAUUGUAAGCCGCCAAGCGAAAGCAUUAAGUAUACCACCUGGGGAGUACGCCGGCAACGGUGAAACUCAAAGGAAUUGACGGGGGCCCGCACAAGCGGAGGAACAUGUGGUUUAAUUCGAUGAUACGCGAGGAACCUUACCCGGGCUUGAACUAACGGUGACGAAUCUAGAGAUAG